UGGCGGACGGGUGAGUAAUGUCUGGGAAACUGCCUGAUGGAGGGGGGUAACUACUGGAAACGGUAGCUAAUACCGCAUAACGUCGCAAGACCAAAGAGGGGGACCUUAGGGCCUCUUGCCAUCGGAUGUGCCCAGAUGGGAUUAGCUAGUAGGUGGGGUAAAGGCUCACCUAGGCGACGAUCCCUAGCUGGUCUGAGAGGAUGACCAGCCACACUGGAACUGAGACACGGUCCAG
rnacentral:rRNA from 1 species